GAUGAACGCUGGCGGCGUGCCUAAUACAUGCAAGUCGAGCGCGAGAGUGAGGAGCUUGCUCCUCAUGAUCGAGCGGCGGACGGGUGAGUAACACGUAAGCAACCUACCCUUGAGAUUGGGAUAACUACCGGAAACGGUAGCUAAUACCGGAUACGACUUUUCCACAUAAGUGGAAUGGUUAAAAGGCGGAUUUAUCUGCCGCUCAUGGAUGGGCCUGCGGUGCAUUAGCUAGUUGGUGAGGUAGUGGCGCACCAAGGCGACGAUGCAUAGCCGACCGGAGAGGGUGAUCGGCCACACUGGGACUGAGACACGGCCCAGACUCCUACGGGAGGCAGCAGUAGGGAAUCUUCCGCAAUGGACGAAAGUCUGACGGAGCAACGCCGCGUGAGUGAUGAAGGGUUUCGGCUCGUAAAACUCUGUUGUUAAGGAAGAACACUUGAGGUAGUAACUGGCCUUGAGAUGACGGUACUUAACCAGAAAGCCACGGCUAACUACGUGCCAGCCGCCGCGGUAA
rnacentral:rRNA from 1 species